rnacentral:rRNA from 1 species
UACGGGGGGGGCAAGCGUUGUUCGGAAUUACUGGGCGUAAAGGGCUCGUAGGCGGCCAACUAAGUCGGACGUGAAAUCCCCAGGCUCAACCUGGGAACUGCGUCCGAUACUGGAUGGCUUGAAUCCGGGAGAGGGAUGCAGAACUCCAGGUGUAGCGGUGAAAUGCGUAGAUAUCUGGAGGAAUACCGGUGGCGAAGGCGGCAUCCUGGACCGGCAUUGACGCUGAGGAGCGAAAGCCAGGGGAGCAAACGGG